CAGAGGGUGCAAGCGUUGUUCGGAAUUAUUGGGCGUAAAGCGCGUGUAGGCGGCUUUGCAAGUCAGAUGUGAAAGCCCUCGGCUUAACCGAGGAAGUGCGUCUGAAACUGCAGAGCUUGAGUGUCGGAGAGGAUGGCGGAAUUCCGCAAGUAGAGGUGAAAUUCGUAGAUAUGCGGAGGAACACCGGUGGCGAAGGCGGCCAUCUGGACGACUACUGACGCUGAGACGCGAAAUCGUGGGGAGCAAACAGG
rnacentral:rRNA from 1 species